UACGAAGGGGGCUAGCGUUGUUCGGAUUAACUGGGCGUAAAGGGUGCGUAGGCGGGGUUUUAAGUCAGCUGUGAAAUCCCCGGGCUCAACCUGGGCACUGCAGUUGAAACUGGCAAGCUAGAGUAGGGUAGAGGGGUGUGGAAUUCCAGGUGUAGCGGUGAAAUGCGUAGAUAUCUGGAGGAACAUCAGUGGCGAAGGCGACACCCUGGACUCAUACUGACACUGAGGUGCGAAAGCGUGGGGAGCAAACAGG
rnacentral:rRNA from 1 species